rnacentral:lncRNA from 1 species
AUGUGGGAAAAUCUUAGGACACACUUCAUGAAUUUUAAAUACCCUUCCCUUCACAUAGCUCAAUACAAUCCCUGGAUCCUAUAGCAUUCAGCAUUCAAGACAGAUACCACUAGGAAGUACAAACUACUAUGGCAUGGUACGCCAUGGUAAGUAGGAUAAGAACUUGCUCAUUGGUUUGAACUCCAACUGCACCAUUUCUGGAAUAUAAAAUAUCAGGCUGAACAAGGCAUGGAAAAGGAAACAUACACACAUCUUUGGCCAGGUUUAAAGGGGUUAAUCUGGAAGGCUAGGACAGGAAAACAAGAAUUCAAUUGAAACCCAGCAUCUACUCAGAAACAAGGAUGCUUAUAGACUGUUGAGCUCAGUGAUAAAUUCCAUGGGGAAAAAAUAAAGAAGGCCAACCCUCCUUAACCUGUAGCUGGCCACCCCUGCUAUCAUAGCAGGUCAUCAGCACCAAGCUAAAGCAAGCUCAGUACUGUAAACGGUAGGUCUAGAUCCAAAGCUGAACAUGAACAGGAUGCUAAUCUUAUGCUACAAGGUCAAUGAGCCAAGAUCCCUAAGAAGGAGUUGACAACCCAAAGUAAAAGUCAAGUGAAAAGAUAAAACAGAAAUUGCAAUGUCCUCUAUAAGCCUUGAUUUGCCUUUCUUUCCAAUUGACCAAUCAAAGUGAGGCCCUCUGUAGUAUCUCACUAGUUCUUACUCAGAGACAAUAAAACAGAAGAGUAGAGUAAAUUCGGCCAUAGACAAAUGAGACUUAACCUGGUUUGCAUACGGUUGUGUACAGGUUUCUUAUGUGAGGUUGUCCCUAGAGACCUAUCAAAAAUUAUGAAAUGCAAAGGCUUCCUUUAACUGAAUGUGGGAUCACCUUUGAAAUCCUAUCCUUUUUGAACAACAAAGAGAGAGCAAGUGAGAGCAAGAGCGAGAGCUUGAGAGUGAGAGAGUGAGAGAGAGUGAGAGAGAGUGAGAGAGAGAGAGAGAGAGAGAGAGAGAGAGAGAGGGAGAGAGAGAGGGAGGGAGGGAGAGGUGGAAAAUAGAAAGUGGGGGAGAAAGAGAAUAGUUCUAAACCGAGUUUUCUCUGACACAUAAUUUAGAGUCAUGGAGCUGAUAUCCUGAGAAACACAGCACAAAUAUCUCUGACAUAUCUACAUACGAAUAAGCUCUUUCAAAUUCUUGGUAACCACAGAUAGACUUUUGCAUGACAGUGGCUAUAUAACUGUAUUGUGGAGACCAAGAACUAUCUCUUGCGUAUAUCCUGCCAACUUCUACAAGAGGUAGAAAAGCUAUCAAAGGGCCCACAUUCACCCCUAAAAUCCAUCCAUGAAUAUUAGUGUCCAACAGGUGGAGUCGGUACCCACAUUCCUACCCCGCCCCAGACCUGGCACUACUUUAUCUAGCACGAAUACACCUAAGAGCUUAGUGGUGGUGCACAGCAGCUGGUACAGAGGACGGGUAAGAAUUGGGAGGGGAGACAACCUUCUAGAAAGGACUUCAGAAAGUGAUUAAUCAUGGGGCUUCCUUUUGGAUUGGAGAGCCACGCUAGGUAGUAAAAUGCUAACCCCGGUUCUUUGUUGGACUGUUUAGAGAAUGAAGUGUAGGAGUCUUAGAAUAUUGAACAGCAAAGUGAUGGUAUUCAGGGUAUUUAAUGUAGAUUGUGAGUCUUCAGUGAGAACCAUUUCUAGGGCCUUUGUGAGCAGAAUUGUGUUAGUUCCCCCCGCCCCCAAUCAGUCUCCUAAAGGGACAGCAGAAUACUAGCAUCCAUAGUCUUCUUAAGACUGUGGGUGAUAAGACAAAGUCAAACAUAGUUUGCUACCCUGGUUACCCCUGUGAGCGGUGCUGAGGUGGAUGUGGAGACUGAGUACCUGUAAGAAAGAGCUGAGUGCUAGGGAGGAUCGCUGCCUGUUUGAGUAGCUUCCCAACAGAAGCCAGGCAUCCCCAUCUCCUGGCCUAGGGUGAAGAAACAGAGUAGCCAAGGUAGAUAGACUUCAGACCACUUUCACUUUCAGUGGGUGAGUCCUUGAAACUUGAAGGUCACAUUUGAACUGGGAACCUCCAAACUGCAAACUAAGUAGGUAGGUCAUGCUUGGUUUGGGAAGUGGAAGCCCUCUGUUUUUCUAAUCAAAUCAUCUCCUCCUGUCAAUCAAAAGGCAGCUCCAGCUGCAUCUCCUAGCCUUAUCCAGGAUGGUUAGCACCAGUCACAGGGAGCAGUUCCUUGGCCAUACAUCUGAUGCUUACUGCCAUCACUGAGAAGGGCAGCCAGCACCCAGACUCACUGGCCACCAGGGCCCUCAAUGACAGACAGAACCAAUAAACAUCGAGGCAGGAGUCAAAACAAGGCUUUGCUUCAUGCGUAUUGUCUCCAAAGGUUAAUUCAGCCAUCAUUCCCUAUUCAAGGCCUGUAGGAAAAGACUUCAAAAGCACAGGGAUUCUGUUGACACCUUAUCAUAAUCAUUCCCAGUACAUAUAUUUCAUCACCAACUGGUUCUUGGGCUGGCCCAGGUUAGCCUAGGCUAACUCAGAUUUGUAAUCAGGAUCAAAAAUUAUAUUCUCCCUUCUCUCUUCACUCUAUAUCCAAGUAGCCAAUUAAAGGUACAGUUGUAGCCUCUGUGGUUGCCUUGGCUACAGAUGACCAUACUGGUACACCUCUCCAGGACCUAUCAUGGCAUUCCCAGUCUACACUAGGGAAGCUUACAUUUUCAUUGUCCGGUGGCAUAUGAUAUCACAUGAGACCAAAGUCUCCACACUAUCUGAAAUCUCCACAAAUCCCAGUGGCCUGCACUUGUACAGUUUGGGUGUUUGAUAGAUAAAGCACGUAUGAGAAGAGAAAACAAAAUAAAUCAACUUCAGCAAAAAGAAAGCCAGCACUGUGCUGUCAAUGUCUUUCCCCCCUUUCCCUUUUUAUUUCCAGUUCUAGCUUCAAAAAGCAGAAGGUAAAUAAUGUCAGGUCAAUGAAUAUCAGAUAUAUUUUUUGACUGUACAUUAAAGUGACGUGUAAUCUUUUUACACCUGCAAGUCCAUCUUAUUUAUUCUUGUAAAUGUUCCCUGACAAUGUUUGUAAUAUGGCUGUGUUUAAAAAAAAAUCUAUACAAUAAAGCUGUGACCCUGAGAUUCAUGUUUUCCUAAGAUAUUUAUGCUUGUGUCUUCCUGGGAGUGAGGGGAGAUGAGACGAGUUCAGAUUGAAAUCCAAGAAUUAAAGAUACUCCUAUC